UGGGGUAUCGCCAAGCGGUAAGGCAACAGGUUUUGGUCCUGUCAUUUCAGGGGUUCGAAUCCCUUUACCCCAUCCA
rnacentral:tRNA from 1 species